GCCGGAUGUGGUUGUGUGCACCUGUAAUCCCAGCUACUCGGGAGGCUGAGGCAGGAGGAUCACUUGAACCCGGGAGGCAGAGGCUGCAGUGAGCUGAGAUCGGGCCACUGCACUCUAGCCUGGGUUACACAGUGAGACUCCAUCUCUU
rnacentral:SRP_RNA from 1 species